CAGCCAGGGGAGGGCAGGAGCCAGGGCUGCUCCCUCAGACAGGUAUAAAAGGGUGUCACGGGCAAGGAGAGAGCUUUUGGGACCAAGGUGCGAUCUCUGGGAACCUGUGACUUGUUAAAGCUGCCAGACCGAGGAAAGAUGAGAUCGCAGAAGGCAGUCUGUGGUUACGAGACUCCUGCAUGGACCGAAGAUCUGGGCUGCUGCUGAGGACUUUCCAUGAGAUGCCCCAUAUAAAGCCUGAGUAUCUCAGAUAAUGUCAGUGAUGACUUUACUCACCUGGAGUGGCUCCUUGCUUUCUGCCGAACCAUGCCCUGCAUGCCCUGUGCCUUUUCUGCAGGAUCGCCCAGGCCCCAUCAGAAGCUCCCUGCCUGCUGGUGAAGUGCUUAAUGCACAGGGUCACCGUGUUAGCUGCUGAGGGUCCGGAGCCAGUGCCACUCCUGGCAGCUGCUUGCAGUGCCAUCACCUCAGCCCAAGCCAUGUUCUGGGGAUGCUGCCUGAGCCCUGCAGGACAAGCCCCAUGCCUUCUGCCCCCCAGCACUGCUCGUGCACCAGCCUGGAGCCGGGAGAGCAGCAGCAGCUCUGGGAGCCUGAAUGGGGGGCUCCUGGCCACCACGCGGAGCGGUCCCUGGGCACUGGUAGUGCUGCCAAGCGUGUGCACAAAUUGGAAAUAAAUUGGAAAUUCACAGAAUGAAAUAAUUCACAGGCUACAGUAAAUUACAGAGAAGGGGCAGUGCUUUGGCACACACAGGCGAGCAGCUGGUGGAUGAGUUCAGCAGAACGGCCUCAAUUUCAGAUUUUAAGAUAAAGCUGCUGGCUGGCAUGGAGCUUGGAGGUGGGCUUUUUCACCUCUGCUCCGUUUGCUGAUGUCUCCAGCAUGCAGAAAUAAUCAUGGGCUCCAAGCUCAUCUGAAAGAAACAGCAUUAAGUAAAAAGGAAAAAGAGGAGUGUAUGAAAUUAUGGAAAUGCACCAUUGAAGCAUUAUGGAAAUUGGUGGAUAUUUGCAAUACUAUCAUUUACUUAAUGUCGUGUUGUUCUGAUAAUAGCUGUAUUUCCAUUACAGAAAAACAAAAAAGAAGCAUAACUUCAUGCCGCUUUAUCCUUAUCUGUUCCCAUGAGACCACCUAGAUUGUCAGGAAGCUUAAUAUGCAAAUCUAAAUGUAUAUGAUUUAGGGGCACAACGGACCACAAGAAAUCCAUGAGAGCCAUUUGAACCGCAGUGACACCAUCUGUGAUUGCUCAGUGCUUUUGCCUGUGGAAUAGGAAUAAGGCUGUCCCCAGACUGCAGAACAUUACCUGGUCUGCAUCAAGGGGAGCUACGAUUUUAAACAUUUACCAUGCACCUACCUUGCAGUGGCACUCCUGUUUGCUCCUUGAGUAUUGGCAAGGUGAGCAGGAAGGGAAGGAUUUUCCUGGGGGUGUGCAGUGCCGGCAGAGACCCCAGCUCCUGACUCACAGUGCUCGUCUUCCCCACUUCAUGCUACGUGGCAUCCUCUCUCCCAUAAUCACACAGAGUAAAUCUGUCUCUCCAAAGGCUUGUCUGGCCAUUCCCCCAGUGUUAAGCUAAUGUAACUGAAAUGUGAAGGAGAGGAAGACCACAAGUGGGCUUGCUGAGUGUCUUGCUGUCUGACGAUUUCUGAUUUUGUGCACUUUGAGUCAUAGGUUGGUAGGUAGCUUGGCAAAUCUCCACAACACACUCAUGUGUACCAUAAAAUUUUGAAUUAUCUCAUUUAGAAGAGGUUCAUUAGGAAGAUUAAUGCGGUGUUAUUUUUCUCUCACUCAAUGUCCUAGUACAGAGGGGGCACAAGGAAUUUUCCCAGCUGUGCACAGCAGUAAUUGGCCCUCUCCAGGGUCCCAGCAUCACUGCAUUGCGAUCAGUUAAACUGCUCAGUCUUUGGAAGUGUUAUUUGUCAGCUUAAUUAACCUUAAAGGAAGCACUUGCUUCAAAAUAGGACAACAGUUUUGUUUUUCCCCAAGAAAGAAAUAAAGAUAUUAAAGUUACCACUGGUAAAGGAGCUCUUAAGGUGAGUUUUAAAUGAACCUCUGUGCAUCCUGCCCCUCGGGUUCCCUGCUCAUUUGUACCCCCCUCUCCUGGGACCUGCCAGCUUCGCCAGGGUCAGAUUAGUGUAAUUAUAAGGUUCUGCAGCAUGUUAAAUACUGCUACGUGGCACGGGAAGUCCAAUGUCUUCAUCAAGAAGAUGGGGCAGGCUAUGAAAUAGCUGAAUGAGGGCUAGACAGCAGGGCUAAGACGUUUGUUUCUUUGGCUGAUAGCAGAAGCAUUUCAAAAUGCCUUAGGGUACUGCUCUGUCAGGGUGAAAAGGUCAGAACAAACCUUAAAAUAAAAUAAAAAGCCACAAUCAUUACCAUGAUGGCAGAUUCACCUACAGUUGCCACAGACUGAUAUGACUACAAAAAUCACUUCAAGCCAAGCUAAAAAUAGCCAGUGAGGUUUUAGAUAGUUUCCACAAAUGUUAAAUCUGUGGAAGAGCUAGAAACUGAUGAGCAUGGGCAACCAGGAGAUGGAGGUCUCCCUUACGGUGAGGGCUCUUCAUGCACGCAAACGCAGAUUUCCCUCUCUAGGCAGGGUUGACAAAAGCUUUGGGCCACUUGUUUGACUUUGCUGUUGGGAGGAAGAAAAAGUAGUGACAAGAAUGAUAGCAAGAGGGGAGGUGGGCUGGGAUUUCCUCUAAAAGGCAACCGUUCUGUAAGUAGUUUUGUCUGUUUGCAAAAGUCAUUUAAAUCAAAAAAAAAAAAAAA